GUGUCUAUAAAUUUUUUCAUGAUUUGACCUCAAAUCAGGUAGGAACACCCGCUGAACUUAAGCAUAUCAAUAAGCGGAGGAAAAGAAAAUAACAAUGAUUCCCCUAGUAACUGCGAGUGAAGAGGGACAAGCUCAAAUUUUAAAUCUGUUAGGUUUUUACCUGACCGAGUUGUAAUUUGAAGAGGCGUUUUCCGCGUAUUUGGUCAACCCAAGUCCUAUUGAAUGAGGCAUCAUGGAGGGUGAUAAUCCCGUCCGGUUGAUCAUUGCGUUUUACGAUACGCUUUCUAAGAGUCAAGUUGUUUGGGAUUGCAGCUUAAAAUGGGAGGUAAAUUUCUCCUAAGGCUAAAUAACGGCGAGAGACCGAUAGCGAACAAGUACCGUGAGGGAAAGAUGAAAAGUACUUUGAAAAGAGAGUUAAACAGUACGUGAAAUUGUUGAAAGGGAAACGAUUGAAGUCAGUCGUACCAGUGGAUAAUCAGCCUUUAGAUGCGAUUUUGUGGAGCGUGAAGAGCUAAUCGCCUUCAUGCCUGUAUAUUCGUGUACUUGGGGUGUACUUAUUCGUGUGGUAAGUUAACAUCAAUUUUGGUUGUCAUAAAAUGAUUGGAGGAAUGUAGCUUCGAUCUCGUAUUGAAGUGUUAUAGCCUUUGGUAGAUGUGACGAUCGGGAUUGAGGAUUGCAACGGAUACCCUUCGGGGCUACCUGUCUGAUCUCUGAUUGUUGCUCUGGUGCUGAAAGCUUGCUUAUGGUUAUCAAAGUCGAUGGUCAAUAGGUUAGAAUGGGUUAAAUUCGUUAAGGAUGUUGACGUAAUGGCUUUAAACGACCCGUCUCGAAACACGGACCGAGGAG
rnacentral:rRNA from 1 species